UCUCUCGACCUCCAUCCUUCUACUAUACAAUAUUUCUCUUUCUUCGUUUUCUUUCCAACUUUAGUGUUAUAAAUUUUAGUCGCCAAUAAAAUUUUUCGUUCGAGGUAUUCUUAAUUCUUCAGUGAUGCGAUAUCGAUUCGAGACGCACACAUUUCAUAUAUAUUACUGAGAUAAGACCAUUACCUCCAAAACCUAUCAUGUGGAAGUUGGAUUCCAAAGUGAUUUUGCUUUGUACAAUCGCGGGUAAAAGUCUACGUAGAGGUGUCAAUCGAUGAUCGUUAUGCGGUCAUGGAUCAGAGUAUAACAGGGGAGCCAGUAGACGGUCGUUGCGCGGUCAUAAACUCAAACUUUUUGGAUACCCGAAAAUGUUGCAUUAUAAAUACCAUACAAAAGUUUGAGGGCAUAAUCAUAAGGAAAAACUAUGGGGCUUCCCGCUAUAAUUGGAGUAAUUUUUUGCUCUAUUUUUAUGUAAUCGGUAUCUUUAACAUUCCUUCUUAUUCGAAGGCUGACAACACCAUGGACGUAAGAAGACUCUCAGAUUGGGAGCGGCUUUGGGAUGCGGUAAAGGUGAUGCUCCUUUCGGGGUGACAACGAUUUUCGUUAUUAAACAACCUAUUAAUAACUACAAUUGUUGUUGUGCCAACCCGAGUUUGACUUUUACUGUGUCGGAACAUCCACUCUCCGCCUGAGAGUUCUCUUAUGUCCACCUCAGUGUUAGCCUUCGAAUAAGAAUAAAAGGUUAUAGAUAUCGACUACCUGGAAAUAGAGAAAAAAAAUUACAUUGAUUACAUCGAAAAUCCUUCCGUUUUCCCUUAUGAUUAUAACCUCAAUCUUAUGUAUGGUGUAUAUAUGG
rnacentral:lncRNA from 1 species